UUGUUUGACGGUAAUCAAUUAGAAAGUCACGGCUAACUACGUGCCAGCAGCCGCGGUAAAACGUAGGUGGCAAGCGUAGUCCGGAUUUAUUGGGCGUAAAGCGAGUGCAGGCGGCUCGAUAAGUCUGAUGUGAAAGCCUUCGGCUCAACCGGAGAAUUGCAUCAGAAACUGUCGAGCUUGAGUACAGAAGAGGAGAGUGGAACUCCAUGUGUAGCGGUGAAAUGCGUAGAUAUAUGGAAGAACACCGGUGGCGAAGGCGGCUCUCUGGUCUGUUACUGACGCUGAGGCUCGAAAGCAUGGGUAGCGAACAGGAUUAGAUACCCUGGUAGUCCAUGCCGUAAACGAUGAGUGCUAAGUGUUGGGAGGUUUCCGCCUCUCAGUGCUGCAGCUAACGCAUUAAGCACUCCGCCUGGGGAGUACGACCGCAAGGUUGAAACUCAAAGGAAUUGACGGGGGCCCGCACAAGCGGUGGAGCAUGUUGUUUAAUUCGUAGCAACGCGAAGAAUCUUACCAGGUCUUGACAUCCAUA
rnacentral:rRNA from 1 species